GAUGAACGCUGGCGGCGUGCCUAAUACAUGCAAGUCGAGCGAACGGACGAGAAGCUUGCUUCUCUGAUGUUAGCGGCGGACGGGUGAGUAACACGUGGAUAACCUACCUAUAAGACUGGGAUAACUUCGGGAAACCGGAGCUAAUACCGGAUGAUAUUUUGAACCGCAUGGUUCACAAGUGAAAGACGGUCUUGCUGUCACUUAUAGAUGGAUCCGCGCUGCAUUAGCUAGUUGGUAAGGUAACGGCUUACCAAGGCAACGAUGCAUAGCCGACCUGAGAGGGUGAUCGGCCACCCUGGAACUGAGACACGGUCCAGACUCCUACGGGAGGCAGCAGUAGGGAAUCUUCCGCAAUGGGCGAAAGCCUGACGGAGCAACGCCGCGUGAGUGAUGAAGGUCUUCGGAUCGUAAAACUCUGUUAUUAGGGAAGAACAUAUGUGUAAGUAACUGUGCACAUCUUGACGGUACCUAAUCAGAAAGCCACGGCUAACUACGUG
rnacentral:rRNA from 1 species